UUUGAAAUUAAAAUACUGGUUCAAUUUAUUCUCACUGAGGACUGGGCUUUGGGUAAAGGAAAUGCUACUGCCGGCUCCAAUCAACCGAUCCAGUGGCUAAUGCUAGCAGCGGUGGUGGAACCCGGAGGAACAAUACACCAUCUACGACGUCGUAUCAUAUCCGUACAUACUGUGCAUAGUUUAGUUUACAACUGGGUUAGGGUUUUGCAGUGAUUAGCAAAUUGCCAUCGUCCUUGAGGUGUUGGUAGGUUAGGUUUGGUUCUCGCGAUCAAUCGAUUCAAAUUAUACAAGGCCAAACUCAAACCCAGAAUUCGGCAGGGAAACGGCCAAAUUCACCGAUGGGGAAGCCUCUUUGCUAUGAUGCAGGAAAUGCAGAAGUUUCUCAAGGUUUGAUCAAUAGGCUUUACAGUGACUUCUCCGAUGGCAUACAUUUUGCGACACCAGUUUCUUCCUUGAGGACGAAUGAACUUGACUUGGUUCGGAGUGUGUUGCAAAUGUUGCAAGGAUUUUCUAGCUCACUAUUUUAUUGGGACCAAAAUAGAGUGUCUUUUCAAGUCAAAAGUGGGUUACAUGUGAAUCACCUCUCUCAUACAAGUCUUCACGCCAUUGUCCAUCAAUUUAUGUAUGCUGCAACAUGCUUACAACUGGUGGAAGUUUUAGUCAAUAAAAUUGAGAAAUCUGUUAAAUUACCACCGCCUACUUUGAGGGCUUUUGCGUGUUCUGUUUCUUCAUGGCUUACGAGGUUGCGCGAUAUUUCUUUAAAGGAGGAAAUGAAGAUAAGCAAUGAUGCCGUUGGAACAACUCCUACAUUAUUGGGGUUGGCCAAUUCUUUAUCUAGUCUUUGCUCAGGUGCUGAGUAUUUGUUGCAAAUAGUGCGUGGUGCCAUCCCCCAAGUGUAUUUUGAGUCUAAUUCUUCUCUUCCUGCUGCUGACUUGGCUGUGCAUGUCCUUGACCAUAUUUACAAGAAGCUGGAUGAAGUGUGUCUUGUGCGAGGUGGUGAGGAGGAAGACUACAAGAUGCUACUUCAUUUAUUUAUUGGAAGUAUAUUGCCAUAUAUUGAGGGUCUUGAUUCUUGGCUUUUUGAAGGAACACUAGAUGAUCCAUAUGAGGAGAUGUUCUUUUAUGCUAAUAGAGCAAUAUCUGUUGAUGAGGCUGACUUUUGGGAGAAAAGCUAUCUAUUGAGGCAAAUACAGUGUCAAAUGUUAGAUGUUGGGGCCUCUGCCUCAUCUUGUGCCAGUGACCGCAUAUCAGUAGCAAAUGAUAAAAAGGGAGUGGGCCAAAGGGAAUCCAUCUCAACAUUUAGUUUUAUGAAAGGAAAGGAAUGGAACGAUAAAGACCUUCAGUCGUGUCCACUGUUUAUUAAGGACAUAGCUAAGUCUAUUGUUUCUGCUGGAAAAUCAUUACAGCUGAUCCGGCAUAUUCCCAUGACAUCAGCAGUUGUAUCUAGAAAAGGAAAUGACUGUGAGAUUGAUGGUUUUGGCAGUUUGGAUAAAGGUGUUCAAUAUGGGCAUAGCAUUGCAGGCUUAACUUUGUCAGAAGUUUUCUGUGUGUCAUUAGCGGGCCUUAUAGGCCAUGGUGAUCAUAUUUUUCAAUAUAUUUACGGUAAACAAAAAGUGGAGAGUGAUGAUGGUGUAAUUGUGCCAGUAAAACGCUCAGAGAAAAUUUGGUGUAAGUUCUUGGUUGAUACGCUGGCAGAGAAAAGGUUGGUUGAUACUCAGUCUGCACAUGAGGAUGGAAAAACACUUCCUGAUGCAAAGGAAGAGAAUAUGCUUGCAGGUGUUGUAAAUGAAUUUCCUCUUUCAAGAUCCUUCUGUCAAGAAAAUCCGGUUUUAACAGUCUGCCAAAAGACCCUUUCUAAGAAUGGGGAUGCAUGGAAAACGUUGAACUUAUCUAGAAAUUUAUGUCUGCCUCCUUUAAAUGAUGAAAUUUUGCGAAAGGCUAUAUUCGGUCGGGAGAGUGGAUCGAUUUCUGCAGAUGAAGGAACAAAUUAUACUUUUGGUUUCCGGUUUGGUGAAUCUGAAUAUCUUCGUUCACAAGACGACUCACAUAUGUUACAAGUGUUGUUUCCUUUUCCUACUCUUCUUCCUUCUUUUCAGGACGAGCUCCAUAUGUCAGAGCUCUUACCUUUCCAGAAAAAUAGCACCCUUCCAUCAAGAGUUCUUACCUGGGUUCAGCAGUUUGAACCAAGAAGUACUCCACUUCCGGUGGUUUUAGUGCAGGAAUGUCUUACGGUGUACAUCCAGAAGCGGGUGGAUUGUAUUGGCAGGCAUAUAUUGUCAAAAUUGAUGAAUGGUUGGAAAUUGAUGGAUGAACUGGCAGUGCUGCGCGCCAUUUACUUGCUAGGGUCAGGUGAUCUGCUACAGCACUUCUUGACUGUAAUUUUCAAUAAGCUGGAUAAGGGAGAAACAUGGGAUGAUGAUUUUGAGUUAAACACGAUAUUGCAGGAAUCUAUAAGGAACUCUGCUGAUGGUGUGCUACUAAGUGUUCCUGAUUCAUUGAUUGUAUCCCUCACCAAAAAUCAUGACUUGAAUGGCAAUGAGCAACCACCUAAUAUGGCUUCACAACCCUCGACUCCUCGUAAAAGUCGUGCUCACAGCUUUGGAAUGGAUGGACUUGAUCAGCUAAAAUUUACGUAUAAGGUCUCUUGGCCACUUGAACUUAUUGCAAAUGUGGAGGCGAUCAAGAAAUAUAACCAGGUGAUGGGAUUCUUGUUAAAGGUCAAGCGAGCAAAAUUCGUACUUGAUAAAACUCGAAGGUGGAUGUGGAAGGGUAGAGGCACUGCAGCAAACAAUCACAAGCGUCACUGGUUAGUGGAGCAGAAACUUCUCCAUUUUGUGGAUGCUUUUCACCAGUAUGUGAUGGAUAGAGUAUAUCACAAUGCAUGGCGUGAACUUUGUGAAGGCAUGACAGCUGCUCGAUCUCUUGACGAAGUCAUAGAAGUACAUGAAUUGUACUUGUUGACAAUUCAGCGGCAAUGCUUUGUAGUUCCAGAUAAGCUGUGGGCUCUCAUAGCGAGCAGGAUUAACAACAUCCUGGGAUUAGCAUUGGACUUUUAUUCUAUACAGCUGACACUUAGUGGUGGAACAGUUUCUGCAAUUAAGGCCAAAUGUGAAAUGGAAGUUGACCGUAUUGAGAAACAGUUCGAUGAUUGCAUUGCUUUCCUGCUCAGAGUGCUUUCUUUCAAGCUCAAUGUGGGGCACUUUCCUCAUCUAGCAGAUUUGGUAACUAGGAUAAACUACAAUUACUUUUAUAUGUCAGAUAGUGGAAACCUCAGGACUCUCCCCAGCUCUGAAAAUGUUACUUCGAGACUGGGAAAGGCUUUUCUAGGCAGAACAGACUGAUAACAGCCGCUUCCAAUAUCGUGAGAACAAACUUGUUCCUUCCUCCACCUGUAGGCAGCUAAUAUUAUCUUGAUCUCCAGAGACAUCAUCUCUCUCUCAAGGGCAUCUUCAAUCCCUAGUCUGACCCCAUGAUGCUUCCUAAAAAGUACAAAUUUGCUAUACAAAUCCAUGCCCCGUCCUUUCGGAAUAUGAUCAAGAGUAACUUGUAGAUACACAUUGCACGCAAGACUUCUUUGCACUGCUCUUUGAAUUCGGCGAAAGCCACCAGCAACUGCUCUGCUGCCUCAUUAAAAUUGGCUAGAUUGCUCGUAAAUCGCCCUUGCACCCUCCACUAUUUCAUUAUGGAGAAGCUGGAGCUCACGUGCCUCACUGAGAAUUUGCUCAGCAGUGAUUUGGACAGUGGCUGGGUUUUUGUUGUUAACCAUGGCCGGUGGUGGUGGUAGCUUGGCCUUCAAGUCAUUUUGGGUUGGCUCUGUUUGAUUGAAGGAACUCAUGGCUGGGACUAGGAUUUUCUCACCUGCGCUGUUUCAAAACUAAACAAUUCGAUUUGGAUCACAAAUAUUUUGCAAACUUGCUGUGAUGUAAUGGGUUGCGGAGUGCACAUUUGAUAGGGUGAGAAGCGGAGGUAUAUAUAGAUCUUGCAUUUUCCAACUAGGACUAGGAUUGGAAACCAAAAAUCCCAAUGAAACUGAGACUCCCAUUCCAUUUUAGAAAAGGAUUUUCUUUUUUGUUUUC